GUCAGAGAAGAGGAAAUGCAUGCGAGGAACUGGGAGCAAGAGGCAUGAAAGAAGCUGAAAAAAGUGUAGCGUGAGCAGCAGCGGUUCAAGCUUCCCUAUUCUGCCAAGGUGCCAACAGAUUCUAAGGGGGAGACUAUCCCUGAAAUGAGAGGAGAGUUCCGCCUCCGUGUCCGUUUAAUCCUUGGUCUCUCUGAAGCAAAUAAAUUGCACUCCAUUUCAUAGCAUUGUAUAGAGAAUAAUCGGGGCUGAUGUGGAAUAGCUAGCCAAUCAACAUGCAGUAUAUUGAAAAGGUGCAACUAAAAGCAGCAAGGAAGAGGAGGAGGAAAAAGAGGGGAAGUCAAGAGGGUAGAGAAAGAGAGAAGAGAAGGCAUAGUAGUAGAGGAAGAGAGAGAAGAUGGAAAUAAAUGAAAAGCAAAACAGAGUGCAGAGGAAAAUUAGAGCAUUGACCUAUUGUAACUUUGGUUAUAGCAUCUUGAGAAGUGAUGGGCACUCACUAGGUAAUUGGUACUGUUCUAAGUAGAUAGAAAUGGUGAUUCUUUUAGACCUGGGGUUACCGUAAUCACGAUUAAAAGAAAUUGGGUGUCUAGGAAGACAAUACAAGUCAUUUCUAUCAGACCAUUUUGAAUCUUUGUUCUAUCUGGCUUGCUCUGCAGACAAAGCUGCAUAUUUCUCUAUGUAAGUGAAUCUUCUCUAGGUCAAGUUAUUCAGAAAAAGAAGAGAGACUGAAUAGUGCACAUGUAAGAACUGAGAAUCCCCUGCAUUUUCUUUGAGGCUUUUGUGUACAUGAUGAGCUAGAAUAACCUCCGUGAACUGAAUUAUCCUUCCAUACUAUGGUUCAGUGAAUAUCAUUAUAUUUCAGCACAGCUUGAGUGAUUUUUAAUGCCAAAAACAUCAGCAAGAAAUACAAAUGUUACAAAAAAAUAUUGAAACAAUACCAUAAAAAAGCCCAGGAUCAUAAAUACUUUACUUUGCACGGUCUCAAAGGUCAACAUAGCUAUAGUGUGGAAAAUUAAAAUGCUCUUCGUAUGAAUAUCUUUGGAAAAAAAUGCAGUGGUUUACUCUAAAAAUGCAAAAUUCCAUUCCCCGAAUCUAUUUGAGGCCGAUUAACAAGAAAAAACUAUUUUCCUGGCAGUUGGAACUGAUGAAGUUAUUCACCUGUGAUUGUUCUGAAUGUUCUUUCGUAUAGUAUUAAAUACAAUUUAAUUAAAGUUGAAUUACGGUGUGUGGAAAAACAGCGACAGCUGUCUUGUGAGUGAUGUACUUGCCCAUACAAAGGAACAUAGAGACACCCAUAAGUCAGAGGUUUUUAGCAGAAUAAAAUCAAACAUGUUCAGAAGUGAAAAGAGAGAUUUGUGACAAGCUUUGAUGCUGGGCAUCUCUCUGCAACCGUGUGUUUUAUCCACAUGCAGCCCUUGUGAGUAGAACAAGAACAUGUAUAAACUGGAUUAAGGGGGAAGGAUAGGGAAGAAGCUCUGAUAUCCAUCAUACAAUCCCAAGGUGGAUUUCAGCAACUACCCUCAGCUAGCUUCUUGUACUAGAACUAGCCUUUGCCCUGUACUUUUGAACAGCCUUGCCACUAAUGGUGCAAGGGCCUUCUCCUUUGCAGCUUCUGCUGUCUUGGCCACCUUUCUCUAUUCCUUUGCCUGAUUGCUGUUUCAAAUGAUAUCUCAUCUGAAAACAUCUCUCCUUUACCUAUAACUCUUAAUAUUUUUGUAUUGUAUUUGUAUCUCUUUGUAUUGUUAUUUAUCAGUAGCUGAUAGUGGUCCUCUCUUGAGGUGGAUUACAUUGUCAAUGUGCGUGCCUGAGUCAUUCUCUCUGAGAUCUGACUUCUAAAUAUUGCAAUGUUAUUUAGCUUUCUUAUAUUAAUCAAAGAGAGCCACCUGUGAUAAAUACAAGGAGGCUCUUUUCUUAAUCUUUUUCUUAUUCAUAUCUAUGUAGCUUUUCAGCCCCCUGGCAGUGCUCCUUAUUUUUUUUUCAAAACAUGGAUCAAAUGGAAUGAAGUAAUAUUACCCACACCAGCUUAC